GAUGAACGCUGGCGGCGUGCCUAAUACAUGCAAGUCGAGCGAACGGACGAGAAGCUUGCUUCUCUGAUGUUAGCGGCGGACGGGUGAGUAACACGUGGAUAACCUACCUAUAAGACUGGGAUAACUUCGGGAAACCGGAGCUAAUACCGGAUGAUAUUUUGAACCGCAUGGUUCAAAAGUGAAAGACGGUCUUGCUGUCACUUAUAGAUGGAUCCGCGCUGCAUUAGCUAGUUGGUAAGGUAAUGGCUUACCAAGGCAACGAUGCAUAGCCGACCUGAGAGGGGGAUCGGCCACACUGGAACUGAGACACGGUCCAGACUCCUACGGGAGGCAGCAGUAGGGAAUCUUCCGCAAUGGGCGAAAGCCUGACGGAGCAACGCCGCGUGAGUGAUGAAGGUCUUCGGAUCGUAAAACUCUGUUAUUAGGGAAGAACAUAUGUGUAAGUAACUGUGCACAUCUUGACGGUACCUAAUCAGAAAGCCACGGCUAACUACGUG
rnacentral:rRNA from 1 species